UACGAAGGGGACUAGCGUUGUUCGGAAUCAUUGGGCGUAAAGCGCGUGUAGGCGGCCAGGUAAGUCCGUUCUGAAAGCCCGGGGCUCAACCCCGGGAGGCGGAUGGAUACUGCUUGGCUCGAGUCCGGAAGAGGCGAGUGGAAUUCCCGGUGUAGCGGUGAAAUGCGCAGAUAUCGGGAGGAACACCAAUGGCGAAGGCAGCUCGCUGGGACGGUACUGACGCUGAGACGCGAAAGCGUGGGGAGCAAACAGG
rnacentral:rRNA from 1 species